UACGAAGGGGGCUAGCGUUGCUCGGAAUUACUGGGCGUAAAGGGCGCGUAGGCGGAUAUUUAAGUUAGAGGUGAAAGCCCAGGGCUCAACCCUGGAAUAGCCUUUAAUACUGGAUAUCUUGAGUUCGGGAGAGGUGAGUGGAAUGCCGAGUGUAGAGGUGAAAUUCGUAGAUAUUCGGCGGAACACCAGUGGCGAAGGCGACUCACUGGCCCGAUAUUGACGCUGAUGCGCGAAAGCCAGGGGAGCAAACGGG
rnacentral:rRNA from 1 species